rnacentral:rRNA from 1 species
UACGGAGGGUGCGAGCGUUGUCCGGAAUCACUGGGCGUAAAGGGCGCGUAGGCGGCCGUGUAAGUCACUUGUGAAAUCCCGGGGCUCAACUCCGGGGCUGCAGGUGAGACUGCGUGGCUAGAGCUUGGUAGAGGCGAGUGGAAUUCCCGGUGUAGCGGUGGAAUGCGUAGAUAUCGGGAAGAACACCGGUGGCGAAGGCGGCUCGCUGGGCCAAUGCUGACGCUGAGGCGCGAAAGCGUGGGGAGCAAACAGG